rnacentral:lncRNA from 1 species
GUGAAGACCACAGUUUCCUGUCGCGUGGAUGUGUUUCCUCUCUGGCCAUUGCCAUCCGCCCAAAUCUACAGACAUCCCGCAUGUUCCCGGGCUCGUCUCCCCAAUACAGGGCACCAAGGCUGUAGACUGCGCAGCCCUCCUGGAGACAGAUGGAAGCUCCUUGGGUCGACAGAUUACAGCUUCUGGAACCCCCUACUCCCUUCAACUCCGAGAUGGACACCCACUGUCCAGGGAGAGGAUGCCUGGAAAUAACAGCUGGGAUCUACAGUGGCCAAAGAGUUGUCUCCGUCUUGCUACAUCGACAAACUGGUGCUCCUGAGUGAGGAUUGUGCCCUGGGAUGGGGGAUUCAGUUUCUUCAUUUAUAGUUGGAAGUGGGUGAAGGUGAGGUGAGGCUGGGUUCUUUGAGGUGUGCCUGCUUGUUGCUGUACCCACUUGGGAUCUGUGUCUUGUGUGUCCUGUGUUCCCACUGUCGCUUCUGUACCCUUCUGCUUUACUCUGGUGGGUGGAGAGCAGAAUGGAAAGGAGCCAGAAGAUUUUGGGGGUCAUAUGCACCAUCCAGAUUUCAGCCACUGCUCUCUGCUGGCUUCCGGGCCUUGUCUGGUUCUUGAUUUCCUCAUCUGAAAAAUGGGACUACCUCUGUGACAUAAGAGUCCUGUCACCUCAGUUCUGCCAGCUGGGCAGGUUGCAUUGAUCUAAGACAGCAAGUGCUGAGCCUACUGCAGGUCUCGUGGCCAGUGCUUAUUAGAACUGUCACCUCCUCCCGGCCAGUCUUCCGAGCUCUCCUUAAGGAACAGCUGUUGCUCAGUUAGGAGCAGCCUCUUUCCUUUGUUGGCUGUCUGGCUGUUGCCUAUCUGUCCAUCUCUUUCCAGUUUAACCAUUACCCAGCUCUUGGCCAUAGUCUUCCUUGCCCUCUGCCCCUGUAUUCGAAAGUGAUUGUGGGCUGCCUGUGCCCUGGUCAUUGAUACUGCAGGGAGAGGAUUUGGAAAGCCUUUCCCCGUGUUUGGAGGAUCCACACUCGUCCUUGCCAAACCCUGGUGCUUUCCCACAUUGCCCGCUGCCUGCCGUUCUGGCACUUCUGGGAAGCAAAGGUAGGGAGCUCAGACGGUGGCUGCUUCCUUCAGAUCCUUUCUCAGCCUCCACACCCAGUUGUCACUUCUUCAGGACACUUGAGACCGUGUAGAAAAUGUCCUGUUGCUUGACUUCUAGAAUGCAUCUUGCUGUGUUCUGUUAGUCAAGAGGCAGGGUUCUGACUGAACAAAUGAACGAUCAAGGGGCAGUCACUUUCUGUAAGGCAUUGUCGUGUGUCAACUGGGUAAACAGCCUGACAGGGAGGCCCAGGAGGGAGCAAAUUUGCCGUUUUGCCUCCUUGAAUUCUUCCCUCAUGGCCUGCUUUUGACUCUUGCCUUCGGUAGCCACUUCGGAAGCGUUUUCCUCUCCACUCUGACAACAGGCAAGAGUGAGGGUCCAACAAUACAGAGGAAGUAACGUGUCGCUGCUACUCUUCCAUGCCCAGUGCCAGGAGCGACGGUACACUCCAGAGUGCUGUGCCCUGAUGGGCCUUUGAGUGGCCAGUGCAGUGGAUCAUCAGCCCUGUCUCCCAAGAGCUCCAGUCCCUUCUCCGGAGAGGAAGUGGGUCCACUGGCAGCUCAGGAGGCCAUAGCAGGAUUGUCACGUGUGCUCAACAGUCCUCCUCGGCUUUCCAGAAGAGGCUGGAACAGGGCCCUUGAAGAUGUUUGUGGACAUCAGAGGGCCAAAGACGACACAAAGUGAAACUGGAGACACCGCCCCCCCUUGGCAUCAUGAAACUGCCGAUGUUACUGGCUCAUGCAUGGGAGACACCAGCAUACAAAGUCUUGACACCAACACCUCAGAGGGCUGUGUUCUGUCCCCGUGACCAUCAUCUAGUGCCUGGAAAGACUAGUGACAAGAACUUGUUGCCAACUUCCUAUUACCUCCCUAACAGUUGUGCAAUAAACCCCAUAGGUUAAUUCAGUCUGCCUUUUAAAUCUGUGUCAACCCAUGAAUUCAGGGCUAGGUGUGGAAAAGGAGGCUAGCUCCUGACACGCCUGUGACUUUCCUGUUCUUAAUGCCCCCUGAGGCUUGGGCUUCAGGGUGUUGGGAGUGGACAAGUAGGGCUGGUAGUCUAUAUGAUUUUAGGGCUUGUGAGAGUUGAGAUAGCUGAACAGAGAAGGUCAGAACUUGGGGAAGGUGCCUGUGUCAAUAAAAAAAGGCUGGGGUGUCACAGUCCUAGGAAGUGACGUAUCAUUGCUGAGAACUAGGGGUGUGAAUGGGCAAAUGGACUGGAAUAUAAAAUGUAGAGCAUUUUCCUGACAGGACAGGUUGCUGUAGACAGGAACGAGGGUAUGCUCAGUGACUGGCUUUGGAGGACCUUAAGGAACAGAAGUACUCUGGGUGGGGUGGAAGAGAAGAAAUGCCCUUGAGUGACUUGGAUACCAAUAGGGCCAAAGAGAAACUGGUAAAGAGGGUGUAAUUACUGAUGGAUUUAUAACUAGGACUUUUCUAUUGGAAGUGAAGGACCUGGGGAAGGCUUGGUAAGGCUGCUUACCAAGCUUAGAUCCCAGAACACAAACAGGUAAAUGGUACAUUUUUAAAACUAACACAUUUUUCUUGUCUGAGAAUUUCUAAAUUUUGAUUUUUAAAUUAAGUCUGUGUAGGGAGGUCUGCAGUUCACAGAAGGCAUAUGAUCACCGGACUGGGUGUUAGAGGUGGCCUUGAGCCUCCUGACAUGAAUGCUGGGGACUGAACCCGACCUCUGCAAGGACAGAAUUCAUGGACCAUCUCCAGGCCAGUGAAGAGCUUGAUAGCAGGCUGUAGGUGUGGACAGCUACGGUGCCCCUGGACUUGUGGGAACACCAAAGCUAGGGGUUGGUUUGUAAGGGGUUCGAGACAGGGUUUCUCUGUAGCCCUGGCUGUCCUGGAACUCACUCUAUAGACCAGGCUGGCCUCCAACUCAGAAAUCUGCCUGCCUCUCCUAAGUGCUGGGACUAAAAGCAUGUGCCACCACUGCCCGGCCUAGUUUUUUAUUUCAGAGAAAGAUUUUUGGAGUUAUUCUGAGUGGGGUGGUCUUUCCAUUCUGAGAAGGUAUUAGCUAAGAUUUGUCUUGAUACUUUUGCAGUUUUUUUUUUUUAAAGAUUUAUUUAUUAUUAUAUGUAAGUACACUGUAGCUGUUUUCAGACACCCCAGCAGAGGGAGUCAGAUCUCAUUACGGAUGGUUGUGAGCCACCAUGUGGUUGCUAGGCAUUGAACUCAGGACCUUCAGAAGAGCAGUCAGUGCUCCUAACCGCUGAGCCAUGUCUCCAGCCCCUUGUAGUGGUUUUUAAGCAUUCUAGAUAUCUGGAAUUUAAGCUAGAGAUGGUUCUAGAAAAGUUCUUGAAUUUUUAUGUGACAACUUCUAAUGUUACUGGGCCUCAUGAUGGAUGCUUACCAAGGCUGGGAUUGACAGUCAUUUAUCUUUAGAUUUUGGGUGUUCCCAUUAGCAUUGGUUACUAUACAAAUUUAUUUAAUAGAGUCUUGAAUGAUUAAGGAAGAGAAUGGAGCCCUCUACUGUUGGUUGGGAAGAACGUUAACAUUGGUACUGAAAGAUCCUGACAGAAUGUAAAAGGUCACAGAAGCCCUGAAAUUGACAAAAUAGAUUUCAUUGUUAGUAGAAGUAGCUUCACUGAUUUAGAAAAACAGAGGUGCACAGUGCUCUGGCCCCUUCUUGAAUCUGUGUCUGAAUGUUCUGACCGUUCCUUGAACCCAGCUGUGUGUCCACUGCUGCACCUCACUGCCAGGUGUUUGUGAUAUUGGUUGCUAAGAUAGAGUCAGAAAAUCUCCCCAGCAUUAGACUCUCCUUGUUUCCCUCCCAUACCCAUUUCUUAAGAAAUCAAUCAUUUUACAUUGUUUAGAUCUGGAAAUCCCCUACUCCCCUCUUCUCCUUUCCCCCCUGAGGACCUAUAAAAACUGGGACCCCUUUCCCCUCGGGGUCAACUCCUCUACCCCUGAGUGGGAUACGAGUCGUCCCCCGAGUUCUGGCUUUCCCCAAAUAAAGCCUCAUGUGGUUUGCAUCAA